rnacentral:rRNA from 1 species
CCGGAUAAGCUCACGGCCUCUUCGGAGCAGUGGGAAAAGUGGCCUCUGUAUACAGCUAUCAGCAUCCAGAUGAGUCCGCGGCCCAUCAGCUAGUUGGCGGGGUAAUGGCCCACCAAGGCAACGACGGGUAGCUGGUCUGAGAGGACGAUCAGCCACACUGGAACUGAGACACGGUCCAGACUCCUACGGGAGGCAGCAGUGGGAAUUUUGCGCAAUGGGCGAAAGCCUGACGCAGCAACGCCGCGUGUGUGAUGAAGGUCUUCGGAUUGUAAAGCACUUUCGACCGGGACGAAAACCCCCAGCCCAACACGCUGGGGCUUGACGGUACCGGGAGAAGAAGCACCGGCUAACUCUGUGCCAGCAGCCGCGGUAA